rnacentral:lncRNA from 1 species
GCAAAAGUGUGAAAAAAGAAUAUUGUGUGUUAAAAAAUAAUUUCUUUUAUAAAAAGAGAGUUUAUUAAUUGAAGGGAGGUGUUAUUUUUGUGGAGCUUUGAACUCAACUCUUGUCCAGAGUUGUUGAGUUAUUGUGAGUAGGCUGUUGUAUCCUGGAAGGGACAAGUCAAGAGUAUUACUGCUAGACCGGUGAAACAUUUCUUGCAGUGGGCUUGAAUCUCCUUAAAGGGAGCGAGAUAUCCACGCCUAAACCGUAGAAGAAGAAAAUAAUAUUUUUCUUUAUUCAUUCGUAAUUUUCAGUUGUAAUCAGUUGUAAUAUUUAUUGCAAUUUCAGCAACAAUUGACAAACCUGCCAAGGGACCAGGUUCAUCGACCGUUGAAUUCUGGCAGUGCGAAGGGACCAGGUCCCUCGAUCGUUGAACGUUCUGGCCGCCAAAAGUACAGCUAGGAAACUGUAGUUUUUGCAGAAAAGUUGGUGCACAGCAGUAGAGGAUCAACAACUUGUCUUCUCUACUUUCAGUUCUCUACGUUUAUUCUUCAGUUUUUGUUCUUUAUCAUAGAACCUGGUGAGGGACUAGGUUCCCAUUACUGCAGUCAACUCAAAUAGAACUUAUUCUGGUGUUAGCUGCUGGUGAGGGACUAAGUUCCUUGAUUCAUGGUGGACACAUACAAGUCAACAAUUGUUAUCAAAGCGGUACUUCCUAUACAGUUAACACCGAGGGAGGAUGCUGUUUUGAUGGCUGCUCCACCUCAUUUUAAGAAGCAGUAGGAUCAAUGGGAAAAAGAGCCUCAAAAGGAGAAAACUCUGGUUCUUAAAGCUGCUAGAGGAAAGUAUAUUAAAGAAGAUAAAGACAUGACUUAUCUUACUCAGAGGUUUCAAAAGGUGGUAAGAAAGAAUGGAGGAUGUCUGAGAAGAGGAAGUGCAAGCAAGUCUUUAAAUGGAAAUGACUUGCUGCAAACUAUGUUGUCAAGCAAGUUCUUGCUGAUUUGGGAGACUCGUCCAGUGAAUCUGAUGAGUCUGAGCACCCUGAAGAUCAGUAGCGGAGCCAGAAUUCUCACUGAGGGGUUCAGAAGUAAAUAUAAGGACUAGUCGAAGGGGGUUCAACAUCUAUAUGACAUGAAUUAACCUUUAUGUAAUAGCAGUUAUGUAGAUGGUUUAAACUUUAAAAGGGUUGACAUAGAUGAGCCAAACUUAUAACGGAUGACAUAGAUAAACCAUUUUUAAUAGUUUGAUGACAUAUUUGAGCCUUUAAUUUAUUUCUAAUUUUACCCUUUAUGAAAUAAUUAAUAACAACAAAAAAUUUGUGGCUUAUUUUAAAUCAAGUUUGAAAAGUCUUCAUUUUUCUUAUAAACUUUGAGCCAGUUAAAUACGUUCACAUAAAUUGGGACCGAGGGAGAAUUAUUUUACAAAAUCAUAAUUUGGCAUGUAAGUGCAGUGCAUGUACUAGAAACUGGUUUACGUUAAACACAUGUAAGGCAUGUAAUACUAAAGUAUUAUCAGCUAUCAAUUUGUAAAAUAUUUAGCAUUAAAUUUUGGAUUAAUUCUAACAUUAC